UCCCAAGGGCGGGGAGCUGCUCCCUGCUCCCCAUGCCAGUGAACCACUCUCAGCCCCAGGGCUGGGUGAAUCUGCGGGGGCUCUGUCCUGCUCCAUGCCUCCCCCCCGAGGACACUAUAAAGUCCUUGCUGCUUGCUAGAGGCUCAAGCAAGGAUGGUUCCCUCCUGCUUGGCACAGAGGACCCCCAGGGGUCCCUUCCCUCCAGCCUGGCAGCAUCCUAAAGGAGGAACAAUCACCCAACAGUCGUGGGGACCAAAACUGAGGGGACCACACAUGAGACCUCUGCGGGGCCGGAUGAAGCACCAAGGAGGAACCAAGAGUGACACCAAGCUCUGAAGCACGGGCUGCUCCUGCAACUGCUGCCCCAUCUGCAACACAACACCUGCGAGCAGCAACCGUCCCAUCCUGUCUGGGCAUGUAAGGCUGGUUUGGGGGAGCAAACAAACAGGUAGCUCUGUUUGGGGGGGAUACACCACCACCCCACUGCUGGAGCAUGCUGUGGCUGCUAUCUGCUCCCAGGGGAGGGCUCAUUAAUAGUGCCAGGUUAAUUAAAUCAGCUUAUUCUGUGCAGAGA